ACUCAUGACCUAUCCUAUGCAUCUUUCCUAACUUCUAAUAUUCCUAUAUUGUAUUCUAAACUCAAAUGGACCUACCUAAACUCAUUUUAAAGUGAUUGAUCACAAGAUUCCAAUCUAAAAUUAACAAAAUCUGACUUUAGAGACCAAAAUUAAACUCCACCCGUUCUAGCUCAUAAUUGAGCAACUUAGGUCUUUGAACAAGUCACAAAUGACUCAAUUACAGAACCCAAC
rnacentral:lncRNA from 1 species